GAUGAACGCUGGCGGCGUGCCUAAUACAUGCAAGUCGAGCGAACAGACGAGGAGCUUGCUCCUCUGACGUUAGCGGCGGACGGGUGAGUAACACGUGGAUAACCUACCUAUAAGACUGGGAUAACUUCGGGAAACCGGAGCUAAUACCGGAUAAUAUAUUGAACCGCAUGGUUCAAUAGUGAAAGACGGUUUUGCUGUCACUUAUAGAUGGAUCCGCGCCGCAUUAGCUAGUUGGUAAGGUAGCGGCUUACCAAGGCGACGAUGCGUAGCCGACCUGAGAGGGUGAUCGGCCACACUGGAACUGAGACACGGUCCAGACUCCUACGGGAGGCAGCAGUAGGGAAUCUUCCGCAAAGGGCGAAAGCCUGACGGAGCAACGCCGCGUGAGUGAUGAAGGUCUUCGGAUCGUAAAACUCUGUUAUUAGGGAAGAACAAAUGUGUAAGUAACUAUGCACGUCUUGACGGUACCUAAUCAGAAAGCCACGGCUAACUACGUG
rnacentral:rRNA from 1 species